GAUGAAGAACGUAGCGAAAUGCGAUAAGUAGUGUGAAUUGCAGAAUUCAGUGAAUCAUCGAAUCUUUGAACGCACAUUGCGCCCUUUGGUAUUCCAAAGGGCAUGCCUGUUCGAGCGUCAUUUGUACCCUCAAGCUCUGCUUGGUGUUGGGUGUUUGUUCCGCCUCUGUGUGUGAACUCGCCUCAAAACAAUUGGCAGCCGGCGUACUUGUUUCGGAGCGCAGCACAUUUUGCGAUCCAGAUCAACGUACAGCGGCAUCCAAGAAGCCUUAUUUAACGCUCUUGACCUCGGAUCAGGUAGGGAUACCCGCUGAACUUAAGCAUAUCAAUAAGCGGAGGA
rnacentral:misc_RNA from 1 species